UAACUUGGCUCAGUUGGUAGAGCAUGAGAUUCUUAAUCUCAGGGUCCGAGACUCACAUUGGGCAAAA